UACGGAGGGUGCAAGCGUUAUCCGGAUUCACUGGGUUUAAAGGGCGCGUAGGUGGGUUGGUAAGUCAGUGGUGAAAUCUCCGGGCUUAACCUGGAAACUGCCAUUGAUACUAUCAAUCUUGAAUACCUUGGAGGUGAGCGGAAUAUGUCAUGUAGCGGUGAAAUGCUUAGAUAUGACAUAGAACACCAAUUGCGAAGGCAGCUCACUACACGGUCAUUGACACUGAGGCACGAAAGCGUGGGGAUCAAACAGG
rnacentral:rRNA from 1 species